UACGGGGGGGGCAAGCGUUGUUCGGAAUUACUGGGCGUAAAGGGCUCGUAGGUGGCCAACUAAGUCAGACGUGAAAUCCCUCAGCUUAACUGGGGAACUGCGUCUGAUACUGGAUGGCUUGAGUUUGGGAGAGGGAUGCGGAAUUCCAGGUGUAGCGGUGAAAUGCGCAGAUAAUCAGGAAGAACACCCGUGGCUAAGGCGGCUCUCUAGUACGGUACUGACGCUGAGACGCGAAAGCGUGGGGAGCGAACAGG
rnacentral:rRNA from 1 species